GCUUGCCGGGAGGAGGCGGGGACACGGAGCACCGUUGGGAGCAAUAGGAGAGGAGAUUUAGCAAAGCAGAGACGUGCAUUGGACUUCGACUCCCAGAAGCCUCAGCUGCUGUACCCAACGCUGCAGGAUUCUGGAAGCUGAAGUCCAAAACGCUUGGAUGGCCAGAGUUUGGGAAUUCUUUAGAAUUAAUACUCCCGGUGGUGUAGCUGAUUAAACCGCUGAGCUGCUGAACUUGCUGACUGAAAGGUUGAUUUCUGGGACCGUUUUGAGCUCCCGCUGUUAGCUUCAGCUUCUGCCAACCUAGCAGUUCAAAAACAUGCAAAUAUUGUUUGCUACAUUCACCUGCAGAACAAAAAGAGAAUCUUAAUAUGUCCAAGAGUAGUCGAAGAGCCUGGCAAUUGCUGAGACGUCUGGAUAAUGAUCCUGUGAUUGACUGCGGACAUGCAAAACCUAACACCUGACAAGAUAGCACUAUAGCUAAAUCAGACAACCGACUGCAGCAGAGUAAAGGUGAAAAUCAAAAGGGCACCAGAACUUGAAACCCACCAAUUGUCACCUCCCCUAAACCUGAAAGAACUCAGAGAAGCGGUGAAGCGAUGCAAAACUGAUAAAGCAUCCAGCCUGGGUCCACUCCAUCGUUGAUACUGACACAUUGAAUAUAUAUACUCGAAGAACGUAUUACAUGGGAAAAUUGACUACUCUAGGUUUUCCAUACCUGUAUAACCACCACCUGAGGAAGACUACACAGUUGAAACCGGUCGUGGAUGGUGACUAACCUUGGAUUUGUUUAAAACAUUGGAUUUUAAAAAAAGGAUUCACUUACUUGGACAUUUAGAUUUGGACUCACAAUUAGUGAUUUAUACAGUCCUCCAUGUGGAACAUGAACUCUGGUGGUCAUUGGACUCACACACUCUGAAUAUAGAGUUUUACUUUCUAUGAAUGUAUGUGUGUUGGUAACACAUGGAUUAUAUUUUGGUUUAGAGACGUGUUUUUUGAAGCAUUUAGUAUAUUUUGAAUCUUUAUCAUCCUUGGCUGCACAUUGAAUGAUCUAUGACAAUAGCAUAUAUAGAAAUUACUGUUUUAUAUAAAUGCUGUAAAUAAAUGCUGUAAAUAAAUAAAUAAAUAAAUAAA